rnacentral:rRNA from 1 species
CCUACGGGUGGCAGCAGUGAGGAAUAUUGGUCAAUGGACGAGAGUCUGAACCAGCCAAGUAGCGUGAAGGAUGACUGCCCUAUGGGUUGUAAACUUCUUUUAUAUGGGAAUAAAAUGUUCCACGUGUGGGAUUUUGUAUGUACCAUAUGAAUAAGGAUCGGCUAACUCCGUGCCAGCAGCCGCGGUAAUACGGAGGAUCUGAGCGUUAUCCGGAUUUAUUGGGUUUAAAGGGCGCGUAGGUGGAUUGUUAAGUCAGUUGUGAAAGUUUGCGGCUCAACCGUAAAAUUGCAGUUGAAACUGGCAGUCUUGAGUACAGUAGAGGUGGGCGGAAUGCGUGGUGUAGCGGUGAAAUGCUUAGAUAUCACGAAGAACUCCGAUUGCGAAGGCAGUUCACUGGACUGCAACUGACACUGAGGCUCGAAAGUGUGGGUAUCAAACAGGAUUAGAUACCCGAGUAGUC